GGGCCUGCCCAGUGAUAUUUCAACGGCCGCGGUACUCUGACCGUGCAAAGGUAGCAUAAUCAUUUGCCCUAUAAUUAAGGGCUAGUAUGAACGGUCUAACAAGAAUGGAACUGUCUCUUUUAAAAUCCUUAGAACUUGGUCUUUAGGUGAAGAAACCUAAAUUAUAUUGAUAGACAAGAAGACCCUAUCGAGCUUUAAAACAAUUAGUUAAACAAAUAGAUAACACUAACUUUAGCUAAAAAUUUUGGUUGGGGCGACUAAGGAACAAACAAAGCUUCCUUAAUAAAUUCUACACUAAUAAGUAAUGAUCCAAAAUAUUUGAUUAAUAAAAUUAGUUACCGUAGGGAUAACAGCAUAAUCUUCUUCAAGAGUUCUUAUCGAAAAGAAUGUUUGUGACCUCGAUGUUGGACUAGGAUAUCCAAAAGAUGCAGAAGUCUUUAAAGGUUGGUCUGUUCGACCAAUAAAAUCCUACGUGAUCUAUCU
rnacentral:rRNA from 1 species